rnacentral:rRNA from 1 species
AUGGUGGAAGAAAGCAAAGAUAGUGGGACAUUCCUGGCUGUGGCAAGUUCCAAAAGCGUGGACUACAAAAUGAGAAUCACUUAUCUAUCAUGUUUGGUGACAUCACGAGUGAUGGUACAGAUCACUGGAAUCCAUGUGCCUGAUUUUCAACGAGGUGUGGCGCCAAGAACACCUAAGGAGAAAUUUAACAAGAUACACUCAUCCAAGCUUAAUGUGAUCGAGAGAGCGUUUGGCGUGUGGAAAAUGAAGUGGCAGAUUCUACUAAAGAUGCCCAAUUAUUUGGUUGAAACUCAGAAGAUGAUAGUGGCUGCAACUAUGACCCUUCACAACUAUGUUCGAUAUCAUGAUAAGGGUGAUCUUCACUUUCUUCAAGUCGACAGAGAUCCCAGCUAUGUCCCAACUAUCCCUUCAAGGUAUCAACGGUACGCCAUCCCUCCAAAUGCAUCAGACGCGUCAACCUCAGAGGCUAGCGAUAAAGACAUGGACCGGUUUUGUAAUAGACUAGCAACUGAUAUUGCUCUUGGUUGGUGA